rnacentral:rRNA from 1 species
AUUGAACGCUGGCGGCAGGCCUAACACAUGCAAGUCGAACGAGUGGCGGACGGGUGAGUAAUGUCUGGGAAACUGCCUGAUGGCGGGGGAUAACUACUGGAAACGGUAGCUAAUACCGCAUACCAUCAGAUGUGCCCAGAUGGGAUGAGCUUGUGGGGGGGGUAACGGCGCACAAAGGCGACGAUCCCUAGCUGGUCUGAGAGGAUGACCAGCCACACUGGAACUGAGACACGGCCCAGACGCCUCAGGGAGGCAGAAGUGGGGAAUAGUGCACAAUGGGGGAAAGCCUGAUGCAGCCAUGCCGCGUGUAUGAAGAAGGCCUUCGGGUUGUAAAGCACUUGCAGUGGGGAGGCGUUACCUGCAGAAUAAGCACCGGCUAACUCCGUGCCAGCAGCCGCGGUAAUAC